CCUACGAGUGGCAGCAGUGAGGAAUAUUGGUCAAUGGGCGAGAGCCUGAACCAGCCAAGUCGCGUGAGGGAGUACUGCCCUAUGGGUUGUAAACCUCUUUUGUCGGGGAGCAAAAGCCGGACGUGUCCGGCUGUGAGAGUACCCCAAGAAAAAGCAUCUGCUAACUCCGAGCCAGCAGCCGCGGUAAUACGGAGGAUGCGAGCGUUAUCCGGUUUUAUUGGGUUUAAGGGGUGCGCAGGCGGAUUUUUAAGUCAGCGGUCAAAGCGUGGGGCUCAACCCCAUACAGCCGGUGAAACUGGGGAUCUAGAGUGUGCGAGAGGUAUGCGGAAUGCGUGGUGUAGCGGUGAAAUGCAUAGAUAUCACGCAGAACCCCGAUUGCGAAGGCAGCAUACCGGUGCACAACUGACGCUCAGGCACGAAAGCGUGGGUAUCGAACAGGAUUAGAUACCCCGGUAGUC
rnacentral:rRNA from 1 species